UAGUCCUAACCAUAAACGAUGGAUGCUAGAUGUGGGAUCGAGAAGAUUCCGUGUCGGAGCAAACGCGAUAAGCAUCCCGCCUGGGGAGUACGGCCGCAAGGCUAAAACUCAAACGAAUUGACGGGGCCCCGCACAAGCAGCGGAGCGUGUGGUUUAAUUCGAUGAUACACGAAGAACCUUACCUGGGUUUGACAUAUAAGUGGUACUGAAGCGAAAGCUGAAGGACCCUUCGGGGAGCUUAUACAGGUGCUGCAUGGCUGUCGUCAGCUCGUGCCGUGAGGUGUCGGGUUAAGUCCCGUAACGAGCGCAACCCUUGCCCCUAGUUAUAAGUGUCUAGGGGGACUGCCGGUGAUAAAUCGGAGGAAGGUGGGGAUGACGUCAAGUCAGCAUGGCCUUUAUAUCCAGGGCUACACACACACUACAAUGGCCGGUACAAUGGGUAGCGAAGCCGCGAGGAAGAGCGAAUCUCGAAAGCCGGUCGUAGUUCGAAUUGUAGGCUGCAACUCGCCUAC
rnacentral:rRNA from 1 species